CGGGGUGAGUAACGCGUGGGUAACCUGCCUCACACAGGGGGAUAACAGUUGGAAACGGCUGCUAAUACCGCAUAAGCGCACAGUACCGCAUGGUACAGUGUGAAAAACUCCGGUGGUGUGAGAUGGACCCGCGUCUGAUUAGCUAGUUGGCAGGGUAACGGCCUACCAAGGCGACGAUCAGUAGCCGACCUGAGAGGGCGACCGGCCACAUUGGGACUGAGACACGGCCCAA
rnacentral:rRNA from 1 species